UGGUAGUGAUGUGGACAAGCAUUUAACAUUUGUUUAAAUCGAGCCCAUGCUUGAUACAUAUCUUCUCCAAUUUUCUGCUUGAAGCUUAGAAUUUCAAUCCUCAACCU
rfam:Solanum tuberosum cultivar DM 1-3 516 R44 scf00018_86, whole genome shotgun sequence.